CUGUAUUAGUAGUCUGUAGUUGAUACCUUAUAGUGUUGUGACUUUUCUCCUCUGUGAUUUUAACGAUGAAUGAUUAUCGGUUGACUAAUGUUAUUUUUGUUUACUAAUUUUUCUCUCGUUAGCGUUAGACCCUAGUUUUACUUAAAUAGAGAGUAAAUGAAUGAAUCAACAAAUAAACGUGUACGCUCCAGCAAUUGGGAUGAUUAUGAUAAACAUUACAAAUUUUUGUUACAUGUAGGAGGUCCUUCGAACCUUGGCGCUGCAGCGAGCUGAAAUAUUGGAAAAGAAAGACACUACAACUAAAGUUAAUGCCGCUAAAAAAAAGGCAUGGGAGGAGGUUGUGACUAGUUUCAACAGAGUUUCACGUAAUAAAAGAGAUUUGCCCCAAAUUCUAAAUCAAUGGAGGAACAUGAAAACUAGGGCUAAAAGUAUGUCUAAUGAGAGAAGAGAUAGUAGUUCAACUAGUAACGAGUUUAUUUUACCAGAAGUGGAAUUGAUUGUCGAACCAGAGGCUUCAACUGUACGGGAAGUAUUUUCAGCAGGAAGUACCUCUAAAAAACCUAAAAAGAAAAAUAGUUUGAAAUCAAAUUGCUGUAAUCAAGACCAUGAACAUGAAAUAUAUCUCCUUGCAAAGAAAAGCAGAGAAGAAGUCAUGUGGCAACAGAGGCAACUGCAUGAAACCAGAAUGCAGCAAGAGAAGGAGAUUCAUGAAAAAAGGAUUGACUUAAUGAGACUAGAGGAAGAAUAUUGGCGAUUAAAAAUGAAACGUAUUUAUGAAACAUAGUUAAAAUAAUUUUCAUAACAAUUGUGACUAAUAUCAAUUGAUGACUGCAACUUGACUUGAUGUGAUGAAAUAGAAGAAGAAAUCUGUUUUGAUAAACAAAGCCUGUGUGUCAGGAGGGUCAGGUUUAGCUUAAUAUAUCUUUGAAAUUUAUUUAAAAUUCACUAUUUCAUUUUAUUUAAUUUUUCAGUUAGUAUUUUUAUAAGAUUUCUAACAAUAAACAAAAAUAUUUUGUGAAGGUACAUCAGAUCUUGAGGACAUUGUGGAUAAAAUGUUUUUAAUUUAAUUAAAACUGGAAAGUGUUGUGAACUAGUGAAAAAUAACAACAAUAUCACAGUUACAA